rnacentral:lncRNA from 1 species
ACUACUGAAUAUUUCAGCUUUGGAGGGCAUAAGAGUGCUCAUGGUAUCAGCAACUAACCUGCAAAAGAUUUAAAAUCCAUUUACCACUUACUACAUUUUCUUUUUAAGUAUCAGAGAGAUAAAUGAGAUCUUGUCUGGAAAAUUAAAUUAUAUUGUUUAAGCAUAAAACAGUAAAAAUUUUAAAUUAUCUAAAUUUUAAUUUAGAUAAUCCAAAUGGAUUAAAAUUUUAUGUGUUCAGCCAGGCAUCGUGGUGCAAACCUGUAAUCCCAGCAGCUCAGAAGGCUGAGACAGAAGGAUCAUAAGUUCAAAGCCAGCCUCAGCAAAAGCAAGGUGCUAAGCAACUCAGUGAGACCUUAUCUCUAAAUAAAAUACAAAAUCAAGCUGGGGAUAUGGCUCAGUGAUCGGAUCGAGUGCCCCUGAGUUCAAUCCCAAGUACCAAAAAAAAAAAAAAAAAUUAUGUGUUCACUGAAAAUUUGGUUUGAACAAUUUGUAAUAAUGAGCUUUUGUUCAUUUAAAAGUUGUGGCUGCCGGGGGUGGUGGAGCACAACUGUAAUCCUAGCAACUCAGAAAACUGAGGCAGAAGAUCAAAAGUUCAAAGCCAGCUUCAGCAAUUUAGCAAGGCCCUAAGCAACUUAGUGAGACCUGUCUGAAAAUAAAAAAAUAAAAAGGGCUGGGAAUGUGGCUCAGUGGUUAAGCACCCCUGGGUUCAAUCCAUGGUUCCUAAAUAAAUAAAUAAAUAAAGUGAAAAUAAAAGUUGUUGCUCCUGGUGUGGUGCAUUCCUGUAAUUCUAGCUGCUUGGGAGGCUGAGGCAGAAAGACAAGUUUGAGGCCAGCUGGGGCAACUUCAUGAGACCCUGUCUCAAUAAAAUUUGAAAACCUCUGGGGAUAUAGCUCAGAGAUGACCACCUGCCUAGCCUAGAAAGGUCCUGGAUUCAAUCCCCAGUACUGUGCAAAAAGAAAUAAAAAAAA